rnacentral:misc_RNA from 1 species
UCCAGUAUAUCACUGGCAGUCCUUCGUGAGUGCGGCACGCACCUUUUUGUUUGUUUCGGAGCCGCGGGGCGUACUAAACCCACUACGUACCACACCACCGGGCGGCUCGCCUGAAUGCCGAGUCUUUCUCCGCCGCCAACUCGACGUCGUCGUCACCUGCAAGAUAAGGCCAAAAACUUGACUUUACUAAACAAGCGAGAAAAGCCCUUUCUAUAUUAUUAGUAAAGCGCGCUAGCUGCACUAAAGCGCACACUAGAAAGGGCUUCGAAAGGCGCCGGCUCCCUUCUUACUGACAGCACAGCUACGUGCUGGCACUCAAUUAGUAGCGCUGGCACGUCACUCGGCUCCUCGGCUCACUUCGGUUGCAAAGACUUUAUCCUUAGGCGCAUGUCUCAGC